rnacentral:lncRNA from 10 species
CUUAUCUGAUCUCCUGGGAUCUCUACUAGGAUGCUGGCAGCCCAGCCAGCUGGUCUGGCCCUGGACGUGCCUUCAGGUGCUGGUUAUGCUUUAUGACCUGUGUUGUGGUGAGUGAUAAGCAGCACCUGCUUCUAGCUUCACUUUUGGGCCAGAUUUCAUCCCCACCGUGGUUCUUCAUUGCAGCUGCUUUCUGCUCCCUCUAUGGACCCUGCAUGGAAUUGCCCCAUGUUUCUGUUUGGGCACCACUGAGGAAGGAAGCAUGAAGGAUGCACAGAUCCUGGUCAGAGUAAAACAUUCCAUGGGAACUCGGGCUGUGAGAAACAUCCUAACCACCUGACUGCAGAAACAUCCUUAUCACAUCCUGCUGGGCAAGGGCCCAACAGCCUGACUUCAGGAACAUCCUUAUCAUCUUCUACUGAGCAGCAAGCUAUACUGUCCAGAGCCCUCCCUCCCAGCCCCAUGAUUACCCCAGCCUGUAAGUGGCAGUGGGCGCUGACACUAAGCUGGUUUCCCCCUCCGCAGGGUUUUGCUAGUAAUAAACCUGU